CUGACCUUGCGUGGUUUAGACACGCCCAGAUAACAAGUUGAGUCUUCGAAGCGUCGAGGAAGUAACUGUAGCCUAUGAGUUUAAUUUCUAUCUACAGUACAAACAAACAAAAAAAUCGAUAAGCACGACAAUGGACAGUCUUCGUCGUGUUCUAAGUGGUCGUGAGGAAAACGAAGAGUUGGGUUUGACAGCACAGGUCCUGGACGCGUCAACGCUGAGCUACAGUACCCGGGUGAAGUGGUUUCUCGUCUGUUUCGCUUCGGGGGUCCUGUGCUCCAUACUUGGUUCAGCACUGCUCUUCUUGCCAAAUGGCAUCAAGCUGUUUGCUGUGUUCUACACUCUGGGGAACCUCGCUGCCCUUUCCAGCACCUGUUUCCUGAUGGGGCCUGUGAAACAGCUGAAGCGCAUGUUUGAGCCCACCAGACUCAUAGCCACCUGUGUCAUGCUGCUCUGUCUGAUUUUGACACUGUGUGCUGUUUUUUGGUUUUCAUCUUUUUUACUGCAUAUCUCCCCAUUCCUGUUCCUCUACAGUGGCAUAAAAAGGGACUAGCUAUAAUCUUCUGCAUUUUACAGUUCUUGGCCAUGACAUGGUACAGCAUCUCCUACAUUCCAUUUGCAAGAGAUGCAGUCAUGAAAUGCUUCACCACCUGUUUGAGUUAAAGAGGCUUGACUAAAGACUGGUCCCAAUAUGCAAACACAAAGUAAAUAUGUAAAAUAUUGUUUUUUAAUAUAAGGAAUUUAUCUUUUUUUUCUGCCGUUUUCAAUAUACUUAAAUCAUCUUUUUUUAAUCAAGUGUGGCUUUUGAUAGCUACAUACAUGCAGCACUACACCAUUGUGUAAUACGCAAACAAAUGUAAUACUUUUAUUUCUGAGAUUCUGAUUUCAUUCUUUGUUCUGUGAUACAUGUUAUUUUGGGCGAGAAUGUGUUUAAAAACAUGAUUUUUUUUUUUCAGCUUAACUGUCAGAAUUUAUUUUAUAUUCUGUGUAUGUUGAGCAGAUGAAGUGUGCUCAGAUAGCCUUAUUUUAUCUGAUCAGGUGUAUUAUUUUGAAGAGCACUGAUGUGCCUCAUGGUUUUGUCCCAUGCUCAGGUUCUCUUUGUUUUCUACUACUAAGACUCAUGUCCAUGUUGAUCUUUGUACAGAGGAAUGAAUUUCUACACGUGUGUGAGUGUGUAUGUGUGUGUACGUGUGUGCAAUGCAUAUAUAAAUAAACCAGCUCUUCCAUUUAAUGCAACUCUCCGAGCAUUAAAAACCAUCACUGAACUCCA